rnacentral:rRNA from 1 species
UGGGGAAUCUUGGACAAUGGGGGCAACCCUGAUCCAGCGACGCCGCGUGGGUGAAGAAGGCCUUAGGGUUGUAAAGCUCUUUCACCCGUGAAGAUGAUGACGGUAGCGGGAGAAGAAGCCCCGGCUAACUCCGUGCCAGCAGCCGCGGUAAUACGGAGGGGGCAAGCGUUGUUCGGAAUUACUGGGCGUAAAGGGCGCGUAGGCGGACCGACAAGUCAGGGGUGAAAGGCCUGGGCUCAACCCGGGAACUGCCUUUGAAACUGUUGGUCUUGAGUCCGGGAGAGGAUGGCGGAAUUCCCAGUGUAGAGGUGAAAUUCGUAGAUAUUGGGAAGAACACCGGUGGCGAAGGCGGCCAUCUGGUCCGGCACUGACGCUGAGGCGCGAAAGCGUGGGGAGCAAACAGGAUUAGAUACCCGUGUAGUCC